rnacentral:rRNA from 1 species
UACAGAGGUCCCAAGCGUUGUUCGGAUUCACUGGGCGUAAAGGGCGCGUAGGCGGUCAGCACAAGUCAGUUGUGAAAUCUCCGGGCUUAACUCGGAAAGGUCAACUGAUACUGUGCGACUAGAGUGCAAAAGGGGCAACUGGAAUUCUCGGUGUAGCGGUGAAAUGCGUAGAUAUCGAGAGGAACACCUGCGGCGAAGGCGGGUUGCUGGGCUGACACUGACGCUGAGGCGCGAAAGCGUGGGGAGCAAACAGG